rnacentral:rRNA from 1 species
GAUGAACGCUGGCGGCGUGCCUAAUACAUGCAAGUCGAGCGAACGGACGAGAAGCUUGCUUCUCUGAUGUUAGCGGCGGACGGGUGAGUAACACGUGGAUAACCUACCUAUAAGACUGGGAUAACUUCGGGAAACCGGAGCUAAUACCGGAUAAUAUUUUGAACCGCAUGGUUCAAAAGUGAAAGACGGUCUUGCUGUCACUUAUAGAUGGAUCCGCGCUGCAUUAGCUAGUUGGUAAGGUAACGGCUUACCAAGGCAACGAUGCAUAGCCGACCUGAGAGGGUGAUCGGCCACACUGGAACUGAGACACGGUCCAGACUCCUACGGGAGGCAGCAGUAGGGAAUCUUCCGUAAUGGGCGAAAGCCUGACGGAGCAACGCCGCGGGAGUGAUGAAUGUCUUCGGAUCGUAAAACGCUGUUAUUAGGGAAGAACAAAUGUGUAAGUAACUAUGCACGUCUUGACGGUACCUAAUCAGAAAGCCACGGCUAACUACGU